GACGAAAGCUGGCGGCGCGCCUAUUACAUGCAAGUAGAACGCAGUUGCGAACGGGUGAGUAACGCGUAGGUACCUGCCUCAUAGCGGGGGCUAACCAUUGGAAACGAUAGCUAAUACCGCAUACUUUGCGAUGGACCCGCGUUGUAUUCGAUAGUGGGUGAGGUAAAGGCUCACCAAGGCGACGAUACAUAGCCAACCUGAGAGGGUGAUCGGCCACACGGGAACUGAGGCACGGCCCAGACUCCUACAGGAGGCAGCAGUAGGGAUUCUUAGGCAAUGGACGGAAGUCUGACCAAGCAACGCGGCGUGAGUGAGGAAGGUUUUCGGAUCGUAGAGCUCUGUUGUUAGAGAGGCGGUAGCUAGCCAGAAAGGGACGGCUAACUACGUGCCGGCCGCCGCGGUAAUAC
rnacentral:rRNA from 1 species